CAGUCGCCGCGGUAAUACGUAGGUGGCAAGCGUUGUCCGGAAUUAUUGGGCGUAAAGCGCGCGCAGGUGGUUUAAUAAGUCUGAUGUGAAAGCCCACGGCUCAACCGUGGAGGGUCAUUGGAAACUGUUAAACUUGAGUGCAGGAGAGAAAAGUGGAAUUCCUAGUGUAGCGGUGAAAUGCGUAGAGAUUAGGAGGAACACCAGUGGCGAAGGCGGCUUUUUGGCCUGUAACUGACACUGAGGCGCGAAAGCGUGGGGAGCAAGCAGGAUUAGAUACCCCCGUAGUCCCUGUCUCUUAUAC
rnacentral:rRNA from 1 species